rnacentral:pre_miRNA from 1 species
CAAUGAUAAUGAUGAUGAUGAUGAUGAUGAUGAAGAUGGUGAUGAUGCCACCGCAUUAGCGACACACCAUCAUCAUCAUCAUCAUCAUCAGCAAUCAUC